AGUAUUUAUGUUUGCAUGUGUGUCUUAAGAGUGGAUUCUGAAUCCUCUUUUGCAACCCAGAACUCAUUGUUCAGUAUGAGUUUUGAUACAGAUAAGAAGGAACAUG